rnacentral:rRNA from 1 species
GACGAACGCUGGCGGCGUGCCUAAUACAUGCAAGUUGAGCGCUGAAGGUUGGUACUUGUACCGACUGGAUGAGCAGCGAACGGGUGAGUAACGCGUGGGGAAUCUGCCUUUGAGCGGGGGACAACAUUUGGAAACGAAUGCUAAUACCGCAUAAAAACUUUAAACACAAGUUUUAAGUUUGAAAGAUGCAAUUGCAUCACUCAAAGAUGAUCCCGCGUUGUAUUAGCUAGUUGGUGAGGUAAAGGCUCACCAAGGCGAUGAUACAUAGCCGACCUGAGAGGGUGAUCGGCCACAUUGGGACUGAGACACGGCCCAAACUCCUACGGGAGGCAGCAGUAGGGAAUCUUCGGCAAUGGACGAAAGUCUGACCGAGCAACGCCGCGUGAGUGAAGAAGGUUUUCGGAUCGUAAAACUCUGUUGGUAGAGAAGAACGUUGGUGAGAGUGUAAAGCUCAUCAAGUGACGGUAACUACCCAGAAAGGGACGGCUAACUACGUG